GCUCCAGUGGCGCAAUCGGUCAGCGCGCGGUACUUAAAAUGCCGAGGUUGUGAGUUCGAGCCUCACCUGGAGCA